GGAAGCGUGGCAGAGCGGUUGAAUGUACCGGUAUUGAAAACCGGAGUACCUGAAAGGGUACCAGAGGUUCGAAUCCUCUCGCUUCCG
rnacentral:tRNA from 1 species